rnacentral:misc_RNA from 1 species
GUCCAGGACGGCUGCUCCCUGCUCCGCGCGGUGCGCGGUGCGUUCAUUUAAAAGGUGGCGCCGGCACCGCACGGCGCCAGUCUUGGUUUUGUUCCUCGCGCGCUCCCACGACGACGAGCCAUGGCACGCGCGGCUACGGUGUUGGUGGUCUGCGCUGCGCUGCUGGCCGUCGCCACCGCCCUGCCUCGGCCGGACCCCCAGGGCUUCAACCCCGACUGCCAGGGCGGCGACUAUGACGGUGACUACGAUGACGGCGACGGCGGCGGCGGCGGCGGCGGGUACAUUGGCAACGGCCUCUACGGCACGGGCGACUCGGGCUACGCACAGGGGUACAACGCGUACUCCAGCUACAGCGGCUACGGCGCGGGCACCCAGGGCGGCUACGGCGGCGGCCAUGCCGACCCCUCGGGCAGGAGCGCGUCGUCCUUCGGGGUGGGCUUCGGUCGGUAGCUCGGACUUGGACUCGGACUCGGCGAGGAGGCGGGACAAGGCGCCCUAGGGUGAAGAUGCUCCGCCGCCUGCUCGUGGUGGUGCUGUUCGUGCUCGUGAUGUACCUCACCGUGACCGACGCCAAGGGCGGCUACAGGGGCGGCUACAGGGGCGGCUACAGGGGCGGCUACGGCGGCUACGGCGGCUAUGGCGGCUACAGACCGCGCUACGGAGGCGGCUAUGGCUACGGCUACAAGUACAAGUACAAGGGCUAGCCGGCUAGUCCGCCGCUGCUCUGACGACCACCUGUCUUCUGCCAUCGAAUUCUUCUUUGUUUUGCGUGGGCGUGCAAUCGAAAUAAUAAACAUGCUUUGAAACGUUU